UUUUGAUAGUGAUGCUUGUGAUGUUAUUCUGAGUGUAUAUCCACACCGGGCAAGCUUGAAAAAUAUGCCUGACCACGGUGGGAAACGAACUUGCCCGGUGUGGAUAUACACUCAGAGUAACAUCACAAGCAUCAUAU